rnacentral:rRNA from 1 species
GAUGAACGCUGGCGGCGUGCUUAACACAUGCAAGUCGAACGAAGCACUUUAUUACGAUUUCUUCGGAAUGACGAUUUAGUGACUGAGUGGCGGACGGGUGAGUAACGCGUGGGUAACCUGCCUUAUACAGGGGGAUAACAGUUAGAAAUGACUGCUAAUACCGCAUAAGCGCACGGUAUCGCAUGAUACAGUGUGAAAAACUCCGGUGGUAUAAGAUGGACCCGCGUCUGAUUAGCUAGUUGGUGAGGUAACGGCCCACCAAGGCGACGAUCAGUAGCCGGCCUGAGAGGGUGAACGGCCACAUUGGGACUGAGACACGGCCCAAACUCCUACGGGAGGCAGCAGUGGGGAAUAUUGCACAAUGGGGGGAAACCCUGAUGCAGCGACGCCGCGUGAGUGAUGGAGUAUUUCGGUAUGUAAAACUCUAUCAGCAGGGAAGAUAAUGACGGUACCUGACUAAGAGCACCGGCUAAAUACGUGCCAGC